UGAGGAAUAUUGGUCAAUGGACGGAAGUCUGAACCAGCCAAGUAGCGUGCAGGAUGACGGCCCUAUGGGUUGUAAACUGCUUUUGUAUGGGGAUAAAGUUAGGGACGUGUCCCUAUUUGCAGGUCCAUCGAAUAAGGACCGGCUAAUUCCGUGCCAGCAGCCGCGGUAAUACGGAAGGUCCAGGCGUUAUCCGGAUUUAUUGGGUUUAAAGGGAGCGUAGGCUGGAGAUUAAGUGUGUUGUGAAAUGUAGACGCUCAACGUCUGAAUUGCGCAGCGCAUACUGGUUUCCUUGAGUACGCACAACGUUGGCGGAAUUCGUCGUGUAGCGGUGAAAUGCUUAGAUAUGACGAAGAACUCCGAUUGCGAAGGCAGCUGACGGGAGCGCAACUGACGCUUAAGCUCGAAGGUGCGGGUAUCAAACAGGAUUAGAUACCCUGGUAGUUCGCCAGUAAACGAUGGAUGCCCGCUGUUGGUACCUGGUAUCAGCGGCUAAGCGAAAGCAUUAAGCAUCCCACCUGGGGAGUACGCCGGCAACGGUG
rnacentral:rRNA from 1 species